GUCUCUGUGGUGCAGUUGAUUAGUGCGUUGGGCUAUUAACUGAAAGGCUGGUGGUUGGAGCCCACCCAGGGACG
rnacentral:tRNA from 1 species